GUAGUAUCCAAUGAAAUCGCGUUUAGGAAUGACGUCACUCUUCCGGAUCCUUCCGUCUCCGAGAAAGCGCGUGUCCAUCUCUGAUUCAGAAGUGAAUAUGAAAAGAAGUUUGAGAGAAAAACAUGAGCACGUUGAGAGUGUGUCUUCAGCCAUUUACCAUCUGGACUUUCCUGGAGUUUCCUUGGCCAGGUGUGGUGGUUUCCAGGUGUUCGUGAUCCGCUUUGGAUGUGAAUUGAGUGAAGUGUGAACCCUCCCUGGAUUGUGGACCGUUUCGUCUCUCUUCUGUGUGAAUAACGGCCGAGUUGGACCGGCGAGCCGCCCGUUAACCGGACCCUUUGAGCGUUCCUGUUUCGAAAGAACACAGACAUUUAGCGUAUUCUUCUUCGAAUGGUAGGAGAGGGGUUUCAUAUCACUUUUCCCAUUUGGGAAUAGACUUUAGAGACGGUGGAUUUCACCAAUUCUCGGAUCCCUGGACUAACUUUAUAAACUGAUUGAUUUUCCAAAGAAUCCUCCCGAGUGAUUAUCGUGAGUGUGGGCAUUUUGAAGUGUUCAGACUGAAUGUACCUUUUGUUAAUGCGUGUAAUCUUUUCCAGUACUUUGUUGAGGUUUAUGGACACAUGUUCAAAAUGCUGAGUAACUAAACUAAGAACAAAUCAGUUAAAUAAGGAAAAGAGGGUGAUAACGGAUAAAGGAAGAACAAACAAGAAAUAUCAACUUACUUAUCAACAGUGAUAUUGAAGAAAAGCCCUGUAUGGAAAGGAAACUAAACUGAGGCCACUGCACACUAUCUUUUAUUUCUGUGGUCAUUGUUAAAAUAAAUUGUUUUCUUUAUUCUUACCUCAAACCCCGUGUCUGAGUGUCCGCUGCUGUUGCCAGAUUGGAUCUACGCUUUUGAUAUUUACUGCUUAAUUAAUAGACAAAUUAUAAGAAAUUGGGGCGUCACGGGUUACGUUAACAACAGCAGUUUUUAUUUCAGGUCAGUUCCACAGGUAUUGGUUUGCUUGCUCUUACUUUUGCUCUGUCUUUGUUGAAGUUCUGUAGACUUUCACACAGAGACAUACGCCACCGUGUGGCCCAUCACAAGAAUGAAUCAACUCUUAUUAUAUUAAUAAUAACCUAUUUCAUAUACAGCCUGUUAAUGUGCUUUUUUCCAGAAUUGCCAAAUUUACUUCAAAUGACCAACUGAAUACAUUUAAGUAUUACUGAUUUUUUUUUUUUUUUUUUUUUUUUUUUUUUUAUAAAUAGGCCUGACAUGGACUGUUAAUGGUUUUGUGGCUUGUAUGUAGAAUGUGGUUGACCUUUAGAGACAAAAAGACUAAUAUUACUCCAGACAGAUGCGAUGAAGUCUGACGUGCAUCAAAACUGGCUCGACCUCCCUCGGUUUUUAUAAGACCUGCUAUAAAGCAUUUGAUUCUAGUCGGUGCAAGUCUAAAAAAUAAAUACAUCUCAUACGCCA